rnacentral:lncRNA from 1 species
GGGAGCUUAGAUGUGGAAGCUCUUUGGAAACCAAGAAACACUCUGAAAAUGAAAAGGAUACCAACUUCAUCUCUCUUUAAGAAUACAAUAUUAGUUUAAAAGAUUGUUCAACUUAAAGCAAUCUUGUAGAGAUUGUCACCCAUGAUUGAUGCUGGCAUAAGAAUGUUUAUCACAGCAUGGCAUAUAUUGGAAGUUUAGUAAAUGAAGAUACAUCCAAUCUGACAUUCUAUUCACAACCACAAAGAGAUAAUGUAGAAACAUAUUUAGUAAUGUGAGAAAAUACUAAAUAUUAAGUGAAAAAGGGUCUUUUAUUAUGUCUUCCUUGAAGUGCUCUGAUCAGAUCUGCAAUACUGGAGAUGUAAAUUCAACUCUACUUUUUUUUUCUUUUAAAAAGAAGAGCAACAUAAUCCUUAGUGAUCCUAAAUAUUAUUCAACUUAUCUUAACAUUCAAUUUCUUUAUAUAGCAAAGGAAUGCAUUUUUAGCAAUGAAAUAAACAGCAAAC